CCGACCUGCACGAAUGGCAUAAUGAUGGCGGCGCUGUCUCCAGCAGAGGCUCAGUGAAAUCGAAAUCGCUGUGAAGAUGCAGUGUACCCGCGGCUAGACGGAAAGACCCCGUGAACCUUUACUGCAGCUUGACACUGAACUUUGACCUUACUUGUGUAGGAUAGGUGGGAGGCUUUGAAGCUGGAACGCUAGUUCCAGUGGAGCCGUCCUUGAAAUACCACCCUGGUAAUGUUGAGGUUCUAACUCUGUCCCGUGAUCCGGGACGAGGACCGUGUCUGGUGGGUAGUUUGACUGGGGCGGUCUCCUCCUAAAGAGUAACGGAGGAGUACGAAGGUGCGCUCAGCGUGGUCGGAAAUCACGCGUAGAGUAUAAAGGCAAAAGCGCGCUUAACUGCGAGACCCACAAGUCGAGCAGGUACGAAAGUAGGUCUUAGUGAUCCGGUGGUUCUGUAUGGAAGGGCCAUCGCUCAACGGAUAAAAGGUACUCUGGGGAUAACAGGCUGAUACCGCCCAAGAGUUCAUAUCGACGGCGGUGUUUGGCACCUCGAUGUCGGCUCAUCUCAUCCUGGGGCUGAAGCAGGUCCCAAGGGUAUGGCUGUUCGCCAUUUAAAGAGGUACGCGAGCUGGGUUUAGAACGUCGUGAGACAGUUCGGUCCCUAUCUACCGUGGGCGCUGGAAAUUUGAGAGGAUCUGCUCCUAGUACGAGAGGACCAGAGUGGACGAACCUCUGGUGUACCGGUUGUGACGCCAGUCGCAUCGCCGGGUAGCUAUGUUCGGAAGGGAUAACCGCUGAAAGCAUCUAAGCGGGAAGCCUACCUCAAGAUAAGAUUUCCCUAGGACUUUAUGUCCUCUAAAGAGCCGUUCGAGACUAGGACGUUGAUAGGUUGGAUGUGGAAGCAUAGUGAUAUGUGAAGCUGACCAAUACUAAUUGCUCGUGAGGCUUGACUAU
rnacentral:rRNA from 1 species